rnacentral:rRNA from 1 species
GUCGAUGUACUGGGCGCACGCGCGGGGGAUACGUGGUGUGAGUGGUGUGUCCUGAAUUAGUGGGCGUAAAGAGCGCGGAGGUGGUUGGUCGGUUCGGCGGUGAAACCGCGGGGCGUAACCUCGAGCCUGCAGUCGAGACGGGCAGACUUGAGUGCGGUAGGGGAGACUGGAAUUCCUGGUGUAGCGGUGAAAUGCGCAGAUAUCAGGAGGAACACCGGCGGCGAAGGCGGGUCUCUGGGCCGUAACUGACACUGAGGAGCGAAAGCGUGGGGAGCGAACAGGAUUAGAUACCCAGUAGUC